GCCCCGGUAGCUCAGCCCGGUCGGAGCGCCCUGGGGCGAAAGCCCCGUGCAAGCCUCGUAAGCGGGAGGUCCCGGGUUCGAAUCCCGGCCGGGGCUCCA
rnacentral:tRNA from 1 species